AGCGCCUCCGGUUCGGUCAGGGCGACAAUUCAACAGGCCACGGCAAGGUUGAAAAGCAAAGCACUGCAGAAGAGAAGGUGCAGUGCUGCCACAACCACUGCCUGACCCAGAUGAGGAAGAUGUAAGAUCUGGAGUCAUCGAAAUUCUUCCUGAGAUAUGCAUCUAACAGCAGGCGGCCCCAUUCACCGGAAGCACAGAGUGUUCUCUGGUUUCCUCCACCCUGAGUCUCCCUAAGGCUCACUGUCAUGGGGUCCAGGACGUCUGGAAGCAAGUGUAAAAGCAGUGCUGGACGGCCGCUGUCCCCUCCACAUCUGGGGCUCCGGGACCUUUUUACAGAAAUGAGGGAGGAGAAAGCACAAAAGUACUACUGUACUUUUCAAGGUACUGUACUGUAAGAUUAAAAAUGUUUUCUUUA